GACGAACGCUGGCGGCGUGCUUAACACAUGCAAGUCGAACGAAGUGGCGAACGGGUGAGUAACGCGUAAUCAACCUGCCCUUCAGAGGGGGACAACAGUUGGAAACGACUGCUAAUACCGCAUACUGAAGGCGGUGAUUACGUCUGAUUAGCUAGUUGGAGGGGUAACGGCCCACCAAGGCGAGGAUCAGUAGCCGGUCGGAGUGGAUGAACGGCCAAAUUGGGACUGAGACACGGCCCAGACGACUACGGAAGGAAGCAGGGGGGAAUCUUCCGCAAUGGACGAAAGUAUGACGGAGCAACGCGGCGGGAGUGAUGACGGCCUUCGGGUUGUAAAGCUCUGUUAAUCGGGACGCGGUACCGGAAUAGAAAGCCACGGCUAACUACGUGCCAGCAGCCGCGGUAAUUC
rnacentral:rRNA from 1 species